rnacentral:rRNA from 1 species
CCUACGGGAGGCAGCAGUGAGGAAUAUUGGUCAAUGGCCGGGAGGCUGAACCAGCCAAGUCGCGUGAGGGAAGACGGCCCUACGGGUUGUAAACCUCUUUUGUCAGGGAGCAAGGUGCAGGUCGAGACCUGCUGUGAGAGUACCUGAAGAAAAAGCAUCGGCUAAAUCCGUGCCAGCAGCCGCGGUAAUACGGGGGAUGCGAGCUUAAUCCGGUUUUAUUGGGUUUAAAGGGUCCGCAGCCGGAGGCACAAGUCAGCGGGAAAAUCGCGGGGCGCAACCCCGCCCCGCCGUUGAAACUGUGUGCCUUGAGUGCGCGAAGGGUAGGCGGAAUGCGUGGUGUAGCGGUGAAAUGCAGAGAUAUCACGCAGAACUCCGAUCGCGAAGGCAGCCUACCGGCGCGCAACUGACGCUCAUGCACGAAAGCGUGGGUAUCGAACAGGAUUAGAUACCCGUGUAGUC